rnacentral:rRNA from 1 species
UAAUACGUAGGACGCAAGCGUUGUCCGGAAUCACUGGGUGUAAAGGGUGCGUAGGCGGGAAGGUAAGUCAGUGGUGAAAUCUCACGGCUCAACCGUGAAACUGCCGUUGAUACUGCUUUUCUUGAGUUUGGGAGAGGUCGAUGGAAUUCCAGGUGUAGCGGUGAAAUGCGUAGAUAUCUGGAAGAACACCAGUGGCGAAGGCGGUCGACUGGCCCAUAACUGACGCUGAGGCACGAAAGCGUGGGGAGCGAACAGGAUUAGAUACCCUGGUAGUCCACGCCCUAAACGAUGAAUGCUUGGUGUUGGCCCGCAAGGGUCAGUGCCGGAGGUAACCUGGUAAGCAUUCCACCUGGGGAGUACGCUCGCAAGGGUG